GUAAAGGAGUCAUUAUCAGACUGAAGCAAUUUAAAUGGAGUCCAAGAGAAAUGGGAUUAUUUAAAAGUUGCACUGCUGAAGGCAACAGAAAAUUGCAUUAGGCUUGUCAGUAAAAGCAAAAAAUUUAAGAAACCACUGUGGCACUCCGCAGAUGUGGCCAAAAUAGUAAAAAAACUAGAAGAUAGACAGAUCUAUGAGAUUAGACAGAAAGAGG